rnacentral:tRNA from 1 species
CGCGGGAUAGCGCAGUCUGGUAGCGCGUCGGGCUCAUAACCCGAAGGUCAUUGGUUCGAAUCCUUUUCCCGCAACCA